UACGGAGGGUGCUAGCGUUGUUCGGAAUCACUGGGCGUAAAGGGCGUGUAGGCGGUCUGUUAAGUCUGAUGUGAAAUCCCCUCGCUCAACGAGGGAACUGCGUCGGAUACUGGCAGACUUGAGUACCGGAGAGGAAGGUGGAAUUCCCGGUGUAGCGGUGAAAUGCGUAGAUACUGGGAGGAACACCGGUGGCGAAGGCGGCUACCUGGACGGGUACUGACGCUGAGGCGCGAAAGCUAGGGGAGCAAACAGG
rnacentral:rRNA from 1 species